rnacentral:ncRNA from 2 species
UAAUCUAACAUGAACUUCUCUUGUAUAAGCUCAUAAAUUGGUGUGAGCGUCUCGACCAGGCAACCGUAAAUUGCCCCAGGCUACAAGAGGCCGUUAGUGAAGA